UACGUAGGUGGCAAGCGUUAUCCGGAAUUAUUGGGCGUAAAGAGCUCGUAGGCGGUUUGUCGCGUCUGCCGUGAAAGUCCGGGGCUUAACCCCGGAUCUGCGGUGGGUACGGGCAGACUAGAGUGCAGUAGGGGAGACUGGAAUUCCUGGUGUAGCGGUGAAAUGCGCAGAUAUCAGGAGGAACACCGAUGGCGAAGGCAGGUCUCUGGGCUGUAACUGACGCUGAGGAGCGAAAGCAUGGGGAGCGAACAGG
rnacentral:rRNA from 1 species